AGAAUGUCAUUUUUGCUGGAGAUUUCAAUGCUGACUGUUCGUAUGUGGCUAAGAAAAGAUGGUCUAAUAUUCGCCUGAAGAGUGAUUCUCGUUUCUGUUGGCUCAUAAACAAUGAUGUUGAUACUACAGUCAAGGGUACUGAUUGUGCUUAUGAUAGGUUUGUGAUUAGUGGCAAGGAGAUGAAGGAAGGAAUUGUACCUUAUUCAGCCAAAGUGUUCCGCUUUGAUCUGAUGUAUGAGCUCAAUCAAAGUGAGGCAGAACUUGUGAGUGAUCAUUACCCAAUAGAACUGCAGUUGCGAGCACUGACAGAUGACAAGGAGUAUCGAAAAGCAGAAAUACUGAGGAAAUUAUAUGAACUACUUGAAUUAUGCUGAAGACUGAAUUUAUUAGGUUUCAUCUCAUUUAGCAUAAAAGGGUUCACCAGUCAUGUGUAUCAUGAGAACAGCUUUGUGUUACAGCCCCCCCGGAAGGAUGAAAAUAGAGUCAUGAAUAUACAUUCCUCUGGACUAGGAUAUCAUCAGAACAUUGAAAGGAAACUCAUCAUGCUCCAAACAACAAUUAUCAUGGGUUUAUAUUUUAUACAACUUAGAUGAUAAGUAACAAGCAUUUUGCAUUAUCAAUUUUAUGUUCAUAAGUCAAUGUUUACACCAAGUGUCUUUUGCAAGUAUUUGUUCUCUUAUGGUUUUAUUUUCUCUCUGUGCAUUUAUAUUUCUUUUGAGCAAAGAUGAAAUCUGAAAUGGUUUUAAACGCUGAAACAGUAAAGUUGUAUUUAUGUUAUAAUUUGGCUGCAGCACUUGAUACUAAGAGUUGGCACAAAAGUUGAAAUAGUAAAUUCAAUUCAAUUUCAUAUUAUUGUCCACAGUGUGGAAAUUCAUUUUGCUUACAUUUUUGUUUAUAUUCUUUGAUAAAAGUGUCUGUAUUUCUACGUUAAUGAAGCGUUACCUCAGAGGAUGGUAUUCCUUGUGUCAAUGAAAGGAUUGUGAUUUAAGCUCUGUAUAUUAAUUUUAUUUUGAGAACUUGUAAAUGCUCAUAUUAUAUAAAUAUGUCUAGUGUUGUAACUUCUGAUUUACAUUAUAAUGCAAUCAAGUAUUGAUCCAAGGAAGUCUAUGAAUCCAAAUGUUUGUUUUCAAAAGUUAUCUCCAAAACAAUGGCUGGCUAUUUUUUGUUAAUUCUGAAAAGCAAAUUAUGCAUUACUAGUUAUAUGAAAGAGCGUUUUAUUCUGAAUUAUUUUUCAUGUGUUGUUUCUUAAUGCUUGGAAGACAGAGAGAGUACAAAAAUCAGCUUUUGGCAAAAAGUAUACACCCUUUGCAAUCUACCAUUCUAUGGUAAUCAUCAAUCCCCCCCCCCCCCCCUUCAGUUGUGUAGGGAAUUGAGAUGGUACAUGUAUAUGAUAUAUAAAUAAUGUGCUAAAUUGAAGCAAAUCUUAUGAAAUUGCAUAUGAAAUUGCAAAUAAUCUACUAAAUGUAAAACCAGAAUACGAAUCCAAUCAGAAUAUCACAGUGAGUUUACAACAGAGAUUUUAGUUUGUGAGGUUACAAACUCCUUAAUUAUUCAAUGAUAACUGGACUUCAAGUGGGUAUAGAAAUUGAUAUUGUAAUGUACUGUAGUGAUAUAAAAGAGAGGAAUAAUAAUCAAUGGGUUUCUCUUUUCCUUUGAAAGCAUGACAAUGCUGCUCUCCUAACCAAUGUAUCAUGUUUCCUUUUAGCUAAGAACUAAAGAACUACUACGACAUGUGUAUAUCAUACCAAAUAAAUUUUUGUGUUAGUCACACACAAGAAAUAUGAUAGGAAAAAAUAUCAGGAAAAAUAUCCCUUUUUUAAUUCAAUAUUACAUGAUAUCAUUCAGUUUAUCCAGUUGAAAACAAAAUAUCUUUUAAAAACCUUGUUUAAGUUUUUAUACAUUUGAUUUUUUUUCAUAGCUUGGAUUCUCUUAUCAGUGAUGAAACCUGUUUAGAAGUACACAAUUAUAUUGAUACCCGACCAAGAAAGCAAUGUUCCACAUUCUAUACUUGUACUCCCUCAGGGAUGGAUUAAUAUUUCAUAGUUUUAUUUUUAUAUAAUUUUCUUCUUGCAAUUAUGAUGAUAAACCUUGCAAAUGCAUCUCUAUUGGUUAUGUUUGUUUAGAUUUUGAAUGUAGUGUUUGUGGUAUUGUCUUUCAUUUUUAGUACUUCAUAAUUACUUUAUUACCUAUUACAAAAAAAAACAUGAGUACUUACACCAGUACUGUAAUUUACUGUCAAUAUGUAACUGAAAAUGAAUCAAACACCUUACAUGUUUUGUAUUUUUGCUUUAAUAACCAAAAUUUCUGAGAAUUUAUUAAUAUGAAUUUAUUACAUUUCAUCAUAGCAUUUCAAUCUUUUAUUUGUAUUAAUUUUGAAGGUAAAUCAUUGUGCUUGUGUGGUAUUGUUUAUAUGGGUUUAUUUCCAAUUGGUCUAAUGCCAAUUCAUCUAAGUACCAAAUCGUCUACUAUCAUUUGGUCCAUCAAUUUGUCCACUAUCCACAUGAUAUAAUUGCCAUUUUGUCCAUUCACCAUUUCAUCUAAUAAGCAGUUGGUCCAAUAGCCAUUUAGUCCAUAAACCAUUUGGUCAAAUUGUAAAAGUGUUAAUUGGGCAAAAUCAAUGAAAAGAAAAUGGGUAUUAGACCAAGUGGUUAUUAGACGAAAUGGUAAUAGACGAACUGGUGAUUAGAGGAAGAGAUUAUUGGACAAAAUGGAUAUUAUGAUUGUUUGUUAAACAAAAUUGGCAGUGGACGAAUUGGCAAUUUACUGCUUAUAUGUGUAUAUUUCACUCUUGUCCACUUACCUUUAAAAAUCUGAUUUGCAUCCACAUUGCCAUCAUCUGAUAAUUGCAUUGGGGAACUUGAAAUUAGACACCAUUCGUAAUUUAUAUUGUUGGUUCAGAAAUUAAAAUUAAUGAAAAAUUGAUUUCAUGAAUAUACUGCAAUUUCAAUCAUCUAGAUAUGUAUAUUUCAACUUGAUUCAAGUACUAGUAUUUUUUUUAAAGAUAAAAGUUUUGGGUUAUUUUGUCGUGAUUAUUGUGGAUCAUGUAUCUACCGUCAUGAGUUUAAUUUUGAAAGCAAUAUAAUGAAAAGUUUCAUGUGACCACACAUAGCAUUAGCAUCAGCAUCAACAUCAACUUUCAUCUGAUACAACUUAUUCAUUCAAUUUAAACUUAACAAUUGGCUAUGGAAUUUAUACUCAUUAAUUUAAAAACUAGAAUUUUCAGCUUUGCUAAGUGUAAGUUUUUUUUUCAUGUUUUUAAUUAGUCAUGUUAUGGGAUAUCAGAGGUGUAUGUAUUAUUAUGAUAUAUAUGUUUAAUUGUUUUGUGUAUAAUAAUGUCUUUUACUUCUUUCAAAUCUUCACAUACUACAUACUCUUAUGGUAUGAUUUAGUGAGAAUUAGACUUUUAUAUUAUUUUGCACUUUUAGUCAUUAACAAAAUAGCAUUGAUUUGCUUGUUGAACUGCAUACCAUAUUUUGUCUCACAACUUAAACAAAAAUAAAAUCAUAAUAGCCCUGAUAUUAUUAUCAGGCAUUUCAAUGUCCAGUAAUGUCAAUGAUAUUUAUAGAAUAAAAGUAGCUCUAUAAUCAUUUUACCAUUCCAUAUCCAGUCUUACUCCUAACAUGUAGUGUUGAUAUGUAUACAUUACUAUAUCAUGUAAUUUUAUCACCUCUGAAAUAUUAUCCACUGUGUUUAUUUCUUUUCAAAUAUUAUUAAUUAGAAAGAAAGAAUAUAAGAAGGAUAUUGGUCUUUCAAAUAGCACAUUAUGCAAUGCAUCUGGAUGAAACAGUACUUAUCAAUGUCAGAUUUAUGUGCAUGAAAUCUGGUAUAAGAAUAUAUAAUAAAAUUUAUUUCAAAGUGAAAAAGAA